UAAAAAAAAAAAAAAAAGUUAGGCUCAGAUUGUUGACUUAUUUUUUCAUUUUUGACUAAAUUUACCUUUAUGAACUCUUAGAAAUCUUUAGCAGCCAAAGUUAUAAUUUAUUGCCUUUUCAAUUAGGUGUUCAGCUGGAAGUUGAUAUCUGGUGUUUUGUUGGAAUCAAUUUUACAAUUAUUUUAGUCAGGGAUUAAAAAUUUUUUCAUUGAUAGAUGAUGAAGUUUGAUUGAAUUGUGGUACAUUCUUGUUAAGGAAAAGAGAAUGGCUUCAGUAGGGCCAGAACAAUCAUGCAAGUGACGUGAUUCAUCUGUGACUAGAGAAGACGAUCAACUUAUUAUUACUCCUUUGGGUGCUGGUAAUGAAGUGGGUCGGUCUUGUGUGUACAUGUCCUACAAAGGAAAAACUUUACUGUUUGAUUGUGGAAUUCAUCUUGCUUAUUCGGGCGUGGCUGCUUUGCCAUACUUCGAUGAGAUAGAUCCUUCAACAAUUGAUGUCCUUCUCAUCACUCAGGAGUCAAGGAAUCGCAAGACCAAAAUUUCUCCCCAAGAGUUCCUCCAUUAUAUUUUAACUGUUGUACAAUUCCUCAAAAGGAGGCUGCUCUAAAGUGCUGUGAUGAAGUCGAUACAGUUGCAAAGGUUUUGAAAAUUCUUUUCAUGUUUUAGUUCUUGUGUGAUUUCCAAGCCCAAAUUCUCUGGCAUCAAUAAAUUAAAUAAGAGUAUUUGGGGAUUCCUUAGCUUUAUUUGUUGUUUUCCCUAUAAUCAAUGGUGUGAAUUGUCACACCCUAAUAAUAUUUAGCAGUCAAUAGGAGCUGUGAAUUGCAUUAUAAGGAGAUCUACUGACGGGAAGUUAAUUGGCCACAAUACUGACUAUGUUGGUGCAAUUUCUGCCAUUGAAGAUGGACUAAGAGGUAUCUAUCAUGUUGUAUGAUCAAAGAAAAUAUGAGUUAAAAUGCAUAUGGUUAUGCUAAGCAAACCGUUGCAUGCUAUAUGGUUUUAUGAAAAUCUGCUGUUGGUCGACCGUGUGUAGUGGCUUCCAAAUUCGAGUUCUCAUUUAUUUUCCUCUGAUGCUUGUUUAGUUGGUUGGGGCUGCCGAGUAGAGGAAAGGUGGAUAGAGUAAAAUAUCGUGCAACCAUAGCUUGAGGAGGUGAAAGAGAAUUUUCUGCCCUGUUUUCAUUUCAGCUAUGUAGCUUUGGGGGAAAAAAAUCUGUUAUGGCUAUUCAUUGCCUUUUCUUGAGUUUGAAUCAUGUUUUGACUAUGUUUUUUAUUUAUAUGUGUUAAACUAGUGGAGAUGAGAAUGUAUUUUUUUAACAAUUUUCUUCAAGAUUAAUAGCCUAAGUAAGCAACCAAGGAUUUUAUUCAAACUAGUAGGUUCGAUUAGAAUUUUCUAGUUUGCCGAGAGCUCCUCUUGCUGUUUAUGCUAUGCUUUCACAAAAAAAUUAUGUUUCUUCUCAAGUUUUCUUCAACUCUAGUAUGCUCGGUUUAUGUAGUUGAGGUUGUGGUUAAAUGUGGGAUGUUUAAGAGCAUGAAUGUACUGAAGCUGCUAGAUGUCCAUGGUAGUGCAGAAAAUUCUGCUAUGCACACUGUUUUGGGGCUUCAACCAGUCCAUUUCAUCCCCAUUUUUCAUUUUCAUCUUUUGCUCAACCAAAGUUAUUUGUUUGUCAAUAAACAAUAUACAUGUA